rnacentral:piRNA from 1 species
UGCAAACUGACUGACUGUAAA